CAAAUACGCCACCAGCAUCAUCCGAAGCACCAGUACCCACGUCCCAGCUGUCCAUGUGACCGGAUACGACCACUACGGAGGUGUUCUUGAAGAUGAAUUAUCAUCUUAUCUCCUCGUCGGUACUUGCGCAAGAGUAACAUGGCAUCUUCUACCGUUAUAGCUGCAGCAGGAAUACGGCGCACUUCCGGAUCAUAUGAAAGCGUUCCAGUGUGAGGCGUUCCGAUAGAGAAAGGAGUCAUCGAACGUAUCAGCACUGCUGCAGCGCCUUUCUUUGCCGCCACUGAGGGAGAGUCAUAUCGAUACCGACCAGUCGGUCCAUAGCCAACCCAUGCUGGAGCAAAAACUACAAUUUUUCCUUCCACUUGGUCUGCAGUGAAGUUUUCAAACUCUUCAAACGAUUCCACCGCGAUCACUUCUGCCCGGAUGCCUUCUGGUGCAGUUCCAACUGAUUUUCCAAGUCCCAGCAUGGGUAAAUUCUUAUGGAAUGGUUCUACCAGCUCUGCCCAUUCACGGCCGCGUUGCCAGUGUGAUACGAUGGCUUCUUCGGUAUGAACAUUGUCAAGCCCUUCCGCGAUCAUUUCCUGCACUGCGAAGUCGAUCGCAUCCUCCAGUUGCUUCGAUCCAGUGAGCCGUGGUCCAAACCGAUCCGUAAACUCCAGCAAACUCUGCCAAGUCUUGCCCGCAUACUCACCAGAAACGAUGAGCUGGAAGAUCGAAUCCACUACCGGCUGAUAUUGUGCAAUUUCUUCCCGUAGUCCAGGAGGGAGUUCACAUUCGUUCGGAUCUGCUGUUGCGAGAUUGAUUGAGAUGAGUAUUGCGCAAAGCGCGCUGAGAAAUUCUAACUUCAUCCAAAGCAUGGUGGAAAACGAAUGACCGCAGGUGCUCGAGAAUGACGAAGGUGAUAGUGGUUCUUGUAACUUAUCAGGCUAUGCUGCAUGAAUACACUGAAAUGUGACAAGAUAAAGUUACUUGCUGAAGAUAAUAAGGAAUUUGAAUGUAUCAACAGGUACUCAAUAACCAUGUCUAAUCAAAAGUGCCUGAUCUUCUCUAUCUAUAGGCUCUUCAAUCAAAAGGCUUUGUAGGCUGUGGAUUGAAAAGUGUCUAGUGCAUUCGCAUUGUUGCUUCGCAGCCGUAUGAUGAGUUCAGUAUUUAUAAACUAAUCGAUCGUACGAUGUUCGCGUUGUUCUCUUCAAGUUACUUCCAUUUUUUGGCAUAUUGUUGGAGUCAUCUCAUAUACAUGCCAAGUCUUUCUUCUGGACGAUUUCUGGAUGUUCAGAUGGUUUAACAAAAACGGAUCUUUAUGAAAUAUCUAUAUGUUUAAUAUUCCACUUCGUAAUUGAGAAGCAUGACACUCAAUCAAUAACGUUUUUUAAGACUAUAUAAUUCUGAUGCGACGAUCUGUUUGUUUUAAAUGAUGUCGUUAUUUUGGUUUGUAAUCCGUUACAUCUUUUGGAAUAUCGAUGCUUAAGUCGGCAAUCACAUACGCAGUAGCAGCCCACAGCGCAGUACUUCUAUCCAAAUCAUCAGGAUCCUCCAACUCCAUCGUAUCGCCCUCGGAGUGAUGAUACCUAUUGAACAGGGAAACACCUGGAAAUCCUCUUCUUUCCCAGUUUCCAAUAUCUGAUCCAACAGUUCCUUCGGUAUAUGUGAAAUCGUUGAAGCCAGACAUCAAUCUAAACAAUUUCAGCAAAGAUACAGUGGGCAUCACUGUUACCGGAGAAAUCAAGACCAGUGGGUUUAAAUGUACCAGAAUCUGACUCGAAGAACACGUUGAACUCGUCCUCCUCAUCCUCGGAAUGCUGUUUCUCAUACUCAUCGGCACCUUCUAAACCUGUCUCUUCCGCCGUCCAGUAAAUGGCCCGAAUAGUGCGUCGUGGCCUAAGACCCAUCGCUUUCAGGAAUGUCACUGCUUUCCAUGAAAUAAAUACCCCACCAGCAUCGUCCAUCGCGCCAGUACCCACGUCCCAGCUGUCCAUGUGACCGGAUACAACCACUACGGAGGUGUUCUUGAAGAUGAAUUACCAUCUUAUCUCCUCGUCGGUACUUGCGCAAGAGCAACAUGGCAUCUUCUACCGUUAUAGCUGCAGCAGGAAUACGGCGCACUUCCGGAUCAUAUGAAAGCGUUCCAGUAUGAGGCGUUCCGAUAGAGAAAGGAGCCAUUGAACGUAUCAGCACGGCUGCAGCGCCCUUCUUUGCUGCUACUGAUGCUGAUUCAGAUCGAUAUUGAACAGUCGCUCCGUACCCAGCCCAUGCGGGAACAAAAACUACAAUUUUUCCCUCCACUUGGUCUGCAGUGAAGUUUUCAAACUCUUCAAACGAUUCCACCGCGAUCACUUCUGCCCGGAUGCCUUCUGGUGCAGUUCCAACUGAUUUUCCAAGUCCCAGCAUGGGUAAAUUCUUCUGGAAUGGUUCUACCAGCUCUGCCCAUUCUCGUCCGCGUUGCCAGUGUGAUACGAUGGCUUCCUCGGUAUGCACAUUGUCGAGUCCUUCUGCGAUCAUUUCCUGCACUGCGAAGUCGAUCGCAUCCUCCAGCUGCUUCGAUCCAGUAAGCCGUGGUCCAAACCGAUCCGUAAACUCCAGCAAACUCUGCCAAGUCUUGCCCGCAUACUCACCAGAUACGAUGUGUUGGAAGAUCGAAUCCACUACCGGCUGAUAUUGUGCAAUCUCUUCCCGUAGUCCAGGAGGGAGUUCACAUUCGUUCGAAUCUGCUGUUACGAGAUUGAUUGAGACGAGUAUUGCGCAUAGCGCGCCAAAAAAUGCCAACCACUCUCGAAGCAUGAUGGUUAACGAAUGAGCGAAUGCGUCUGAACGAUUGACCUACUUCACUGCCCUUUCUGGUGGGGUGUACAGUUGCCAAAUAGACGUAGAAAGGUGAUUGUAUCACUACGAAUUCAAAGCAUAACCUCGAGCCUCUGAACAAAGACGACAAUGUAUAUGAUAGAAUAAAAUCCAUCACACCGAAAGAUAACACCAAA